CAUAUUUUAAAGAAAAAAAGAAGCCUGCCUGUUGGACAUCUCCAUUACAGAGUCCGCAUCAUCCCAACGGCGAGAAGCGAGAACAGCACGUCUGAGCCGCUGUCACCCUGAAAGUACUUACUCCUGUCGAUUUCUUUUCCAGAGCAUCUAGUAUGCCGCUGGGGUCAUGAUGAUGUAAGCAGAGUGUAUUCCCUCAUCUAUCCUGUUGUCUGCUGAGAAAUGCCACACAGAGAUAUACUCCUACUACCUGGGAUCAAGUUUAAUAUCUGCGACCUGUGAACUUUCUGGACUCUGCCUUCCAUGCCCUUAGCCCAGACAAGAACCAAGAAACAAAUAAUAGCAUGGCUGCUGGAUAAAUAGACUUUUUUUUUCAAGGAGCGAUUUAGUGGAGCAGGGGACCCUCAAUUAAUUAUCAUUGUUUAUAAUACAUUUUCUCCUUUGUCUCUAAAAAUGAGAAUAAUGCAGCAAUAUGAUUGAUAAAUAAAACAUAAAAGGUCA